CUCCUACGGGAGGCAGCAGUGGGGAAUUUUGGACAAUGGGCGCAAGCCUGAUCCAGCCAUUCCGCGUGAGUGAAGAAGGCCUUCGGGUUGUAAAGCUCUUUCGGCCGGGAAGAAAUCGCACGGGAUAAUACCCUGUGUGGAUGACGGUACUGGAAGAAGAAGCACCGGCUAACUACGUGCCAGCAGCCGCGGUAAUACGUAGGGUGCGAGCGUUAAUCGGAAUUACUGGGCGUAAAGCGUGCGCAGGCGGUUUUGUAAGACAGCUGUGAAAUCCCCGGGCUUAACCUGGGAACUGCGGUUGUGACUGCAAGACUUGAGUGCGGCAGAGGGGGGUGGAAUUCCACGUGUAGCAGUGAAAUGCGUAGAGAUGUGGAGGAACACCGAUGGCGAAGGCAGCCCCCUGGGUCGACACUGACGCUCAUGCACGAAAGCGUGGGGAACAAACAGGAUUAGAUACCCUGGUAGUCCACGCCCUAAACGAUGCGAACUAGGUGUUGGGGAAGGAGACUUCUUUAGUACCGUAGCUAACGCGUGAA
rnacentral:rRNA from 1 species